rnacentral:rRNA from 1 species
CCUACGGGGGGCAGCAGUGAGGAAUAUUGGUCAAUGGACGAGAGUCUGAACCAGCCAAGUAGCGUGAAGGAUGACUGCCCUAUGGGUUGUAAACUUCUUUUAUAUGGGAAUAAAAUGUUCCACGUGUGGGAUUUUGUAUGUACCAUAUGAAUAAGGAUCGGCUAACUCCGUGCCAGCAGCCGCGGUAAUACGGAGGAUCCGAGCGUUAUCCGGAUUUAUUGGGUUUAAAGAGAGCGUAGGUGGAUUGUUAAGUCAGUUGUGAAAGUUUGCGGCUCAACCGUAAAAUUGCAGUUGAAACUGGCAGUCUUGAGUGCAGUAGAGGUGGGCGGAAUUCGUGGUGUAGCGGUGAAAUGCUUAGAUAUCACGAAGAACUCCGAUUGCGAAGGCAGUUCACUGGACUGCAACUGACACUGAGGCUCGAAAGUGUGGGUAUCAAACAGGAUUAGAUACCCGAGUAGUC